CGCGCGGCUAUGGCGACUCUGUCCCGGAGAAGAAGGAAGCGAUCACUCUUGCCACCAUCGACUCCACCAUCGCGCUGUGUCUUGCGCUGCUGAUCAAUGCGUCGAUCCUCAUUCUGGCUGCCGCGACCUUCCACAAGGCGGGCAAGACCGACGUCGCCGAACUCGAUCAGGCCCAUACGCUGCUGUCGCCGAUGCUCGGAUCGUCGAUCGCACCGACGCUGUUCGGCAUCGCGCUGUUGUGCUGCGGGUUGAACUCGACCGUUACG
rnacentral:misc_RNA from 1 species